ensembl:lncRNA
UAUCUUAAUUUCUAGCAUAAGAUUCCAAAAUCUGUAUUUGGAAACUGUUACAUCAUUGUGAAAAAUAUUACACCAAUCUUCAGUGUAAUACUGCAAUGAAAUCACGUUCAAAAUUUCUUGUUUUAAAUCCUCUAUUUGGAGGGAUUUAAAAAUUGAACGUAACAUGUGACAUUACUUUCUUGGAGCAUAUGCUCAUAUUAAAAUGUUUUAAUAUACAUUUCAUCUAUCAGUUUGGGUUUCCCAAAUUUUUAGUCAAAAAAUUGAUAUGGUCCAAAUGGACAAGUCGUGCCAUAACAUGAUCUCAUUGCCUAUCCUACAGUUCUUUGAACACAAAUUGUAAAACAGUCAAGCUAUUAAACUGAUUUAUUGUGCAUGCAGUGUACAAUACACUUUGAAAAACUGCCUAAAUACACUUAUUCUAUAGCCUGGAAUAAAAUAAGUAUGUAUUUAACUUGUAUUUCAGUUUUUCAUGGGAAUGUAUAUAGCAAGUGCACUACAGAAAGCGAGUUAUGCUUUUGUCACUUUUGCCCAGUGUUUAAUCUGUUCUGCCAAAUAGACCCUAAUGCCAAAUAGCCACAAAUAAGCAGAGCACUUGUGUACACUCCUGACCUUUAAGUUUCAAAGAAACUGAAUAUAUAUUGUAUUAUAUUAUGCACGUGUUCAACUUAGCUGUUUACAGUCAACUUUCACAUAACUGAGCUGAAAGUAGUUUGGGAUACCCAGGAUAAAACAAAACCCACACAGAGUAUCAAGAAUAUUUAAAUUAGACUGGAGGCACAUACAGUAUGAAGGAGACUAAAGGUAUGACGAAGAAAAGACAGGUCAGUGACACAGGUGGCCGGGCUACACGUUAAGCAGCUGAGUCUAUGGCACUGUGGAAAUGUGGCCAUAGAGCUUCCAAGCCCACAGCCAUCCACUACUCGCCUGAGCACUUGUGGAGUCCAAAUAAUCCAUUUGUAGGACAACAGAGGGUGGACACAAACCAGAAUUAAGCUAGUAAUAACUGAGUUUUAAAUUAAAAGCAAGCAAAAGUGUCUGAUAGGCUGUGGUCUAAACCAAGCCACUAGAGGAGACCUACCUUCUACCUUAAACAACCAGGGUUUAAGCUGUCACUUGAUGCGAAACUUGCUUUCCUAGGCAGCAAAUCUGAUCACAAGGAGCAUCUGCCUGUGGAACCAUAUAUAAAAGAGUGGGGAGCUCUUUCGGUGAGAGCAGCAUGCUGGACUGACCACGCCACGAGCCCUCUCAGGAACUGGCAGCUUCUGUACGCAGUAAGUGCUUACAAAAGCCACUUAGCAUAAGUAUUCCACAGCACCAGUUCAAGAGCAAAGCUGACACAAGAAAGUCUCUUAACUACACCACAAGGAGUUAAGCUCACACCUCUACAAUGUCCGUGAGUCUGCUCCCUACAGCAACCCAGCCAACAACAGCUUGAGUCCUUAACAAAUCUAACAAAGCAAAAAAUGAAGGUUACAUUGCAGCUUGUCUUUGCAAUGUCUAAGCAUUGCAUUGCAGCUGUCUGUAGACAGACAGCUGCAAUGUCUGCUUCAAGUUGAUUUGAACCAUGUCUAGCUAUCAACAUCAAAAUAGGGCUUUUCUCAGCCUGUAAUGCUGUUAUUUUUGGAGAGACCCAAGAGUAGCACUGUAGCACACCCUGGGACAUGGUUGCAGUGACAAAGGUCAACUCCUGUUCGCCAAUACCCUGGGUAUAUUUGCAUUGACAAAACAGCCCCAUUCACAUAGGUCCUGAAUACUUCUGCCAGCAGCAGAAGUGGCGUUUGUGGGAUGAAAGAACAAAGCAGUAAUGAUGCCAAAAUCACCUGGAGAAAAACCCGACAUAAACAUUGUCUGCAUAUUACCUUAAUGUUACACCAAAAGCCAGAUUUUGCCCGUUCCUUUAUCCAUAAACUCACUCUGUGGAAAUCCAUCCUUGUGAUUUAAAACAGGGAUACAGUCCAGGUGAUUCAAAGGCUGACCAUCAGUCAUUGACUCACGCUACUUUUUUUCUUCUCAAAAGCUUUAUAUUAAACCACCCUUAAUCUAGAUUUCAUGAGUUCUGCAUACUUCUCGCAAAAGCAGGGUUCACGCAGCUGUUAAAACUUGCAAUUUCUUUCAUUGUUACAGAACACCAAAAUGUUUGGUGUAUUAAAGGCAUAAAUUUGAUAAUUUUUCCUUUACCCUUCUGAAAGAAGGCUUCGGGGACCUUCAAGGGCAGGCAGCAGUGAGUGCAAGGGAAGCUUUCGGUGGGUGAGAUUUCAUAAGCAGCGCCCUGGGCUGUUUAUCAGCACCAGACUAGCUGCACAGACUGCACAUUCUCCACAAAACUCUUCAAGUGGGAUUUUUACUUAUAAGUUAUUGCUACAGUGUAUUUUGCCAAUAAACCAUAUUCAAAGUGGUGCAUUUACAAUCAUAGGAAAAUGUUUUUAUCCAACCAUUCAUUUUAAUGUUUAAUAUUCUGAAUAACAAAUUCUCACAUUGACCGUAUUACCUUUGGAUUUCCAGAAUGGAACAAACUUACAAGUUUUCAUUUCUAACUACCAAAACUAUUUAGGUAAGCUGUGCAAGCAUUACUCUUACUUUUGGUAUUACUUUUGACAUUACAUUUUGAUAUUACAUUCAUAAAAAUAACAAUUUAUUAAUGUAUCAUAUGGAAAUUACUGUUAUUCCACCAGUAUAAUUUAGUUGUAAAGCAUGACUACCUAGUUCUGUUAAGACAUGAGCAAGGACGGAAGAACAGCAAACACCUGACUGACUCCUCCAAUGAUUGUAAUAUAAAAUGCUGCCUAAUAAAGUUUUAUGGAUAGUUGCACAUUUUUAUAAUAAAGUAUAUUCUUCA